rnacentral:rRNA from 1 species
CAAGCCUGAUGCAGCCUGCCGCGUGUGUGAAGAAGGCCUUCGGGUUGUAAAGCACUUUCAGUCAGGAGGAAAGCGUGGUGGUUAAUACCCAUCAUGUGUGACGUUACUGACAGAAGAAGCACCGGCUAACUCCGUGCCAGCAGCCGCGGUAAUACGGAGGGUGCGAGCGUUAAUCGGAAUUACUGGGCGUAAAGCGUACGCAGGCGGUUUGUUAAGCGAGAUGUGAAAGCCCCGGGCUCAACCUGGGAACUGCAUUUCGAACUGGCAAACUAGAGUGUGAUAGAGGGUGGUAGAAUUUCAGGUGUAGCGGUGAAAUGCGUAGAGAUCUGAAGGAAUACCGAUGGCGAAGGCAGCCACCUGGGUCAACACUGACGCUCAUGUACGAAAGCGUGGGGAGCAAACGGGAUUAGAUACCCCGGUAGUCCACGCCGUAAACGAUGUCUACUAGAAGCUCGGAGCCUCGGUUCUGUUUUUCAAAGCUAACGCAUUAAGUAGACCGCCUGGGGAGUACGGCCGCAAGGUUAAAACUCAAAUGAAUUGACGGGGGCCCGCACAAGCGGUGGAGCAUGUGGUUUAAUUCGAUGCA